GAUCGCAGCAUUAUGCUUCCUGUACAGCCUGCAGCACUGUGAGUCAAGUAAGCCUUUUUUCUUAUAACUUUCCCAGUCUCAGGUAUUUUUUUAUAGCAGUGCAAGGAUGGCCCAAUACACCUCACAUGCCCACUAAACAGCAUCUGUCUUCCUGGAGGCUUCAUUGGCGUCCCAUCCUCAAUAAGGCAUGCAUAACUGUUCUUUCUCUUUCCCUCAUCCCCUGGUCCCAAUAUACUAGAAGAAGAGGAAGACCCAGUAGCAUUGGCUUGAGAGAAAAGAAAAGGAAGAAAUGGAAACGAAAAGACUCUAUUGGCUUCUUAGACAGAGUGUGUCGAAUUCUGAAUUCUGAAGCUUGCUGGUUGGAAGGAAGCACAGCAACACAAUGACAUCUUGGAAGCAGAGAACGGGCCCUCACCAGACAAUGAAUCUGCUGGCACCUUGAUCUUGGACUUCCCAGCCUCCAAACUGUGAGAAAUAAAUUUUUAUUAUUUAUAAAUGACAGUCUUAGGCAACAAGGAACUGAGGAUGGCCUUCAACCAACGGUUGGCAAUGAACUGAGAUUCUCGGUCAAAUAGACUUUGAUGAACUGAAUUCCACCAAUAACCAUAUAAGCUUGGCAGCAGAUUCUUUCCCAGUUGAUGCUUCAGAUGAGACUCUAGGCCUUGUUGUUAUCUACAUUGGACUCAGACCCGUGAGAGAACUGGGAGCAGAAGACCCAGCUAAGACAUGCCCGAACUCUUGACCCAUAGAAACUGUGAGAUAAUACGCAUAUUGUUUUAAGUCUCUAAAUGUAUGCUAAUUUGUUACAAAGCAAUAGAUUCAGGUAGAAAAAGGUAUUCCAUGCUAACACUAAUCAAAAGAAAGCUGUGUUGAUAUCAGACUAACUAGUAUCAACAAAGUAGAUUUUAAACCAAAUGAAAAUAUAUAUAUAUAUAUAUAUAUAUUGAUAUUUUUGAGACAGAGUAUCAAUGUGUCACUCAGGAUAGAGUGCAGUGGUGUCAUAAUGGCUCACUGUGGCCUUGGACUCCUGGGCUCAAGUGAUCCUCCUGCAUCAGCCUCUGGAGUAGCUGGGACUACAUGUAUGCACCAUCAACCCUGGCUAAGGGUUCUUGGUGUGUUUCUCAGGCUGGUCUCAAACUCCUGGCCUCAAGCAAUCCUCCAGUCUUGGCCUCCCAAAGUGCUGGUAUUACAGGUGUGAGCCACUGCACCUGGCCUAAACCAAAGAGUAUUACUAAAGAUAAAUAAUUGCAUAAUGACAAAAAAGUCAGUUCUUCAAAAGGACAGAAUAAUGCUAAGCAUUUAUGUAUGUAAUCAUAGAACUUCAAAUUUCUUAAAACAAAAACUGAUAGAACUGCAAAGAGAAACAGACAAAUCCACAAUUAUACUUAGAGUUCAACACUCUUCUUUCAAUGACUUGUAAAACGAGUCCAGUGAAAAUCAGCAAGGAUAUAGAAAUUUUAAACAACACUGUUCGGCAACUUGAUUUAAUUGACAUUUAUAGAAUGCCCCAUUGAACUACUGCAGAGUAUACAUUCUUUUCUAGUACACAUGAAACAUUUACCAAGAUAUAGCAUGUCUUGGAUCAUAAAACAAAUCUCAGUAAAUUUAAAAGGGAGUAAAAUCAUACAAAGUAAAUUCUUUAGUUACAAUGGAAUUAAAUUAGAAAUCAAUAAUAGAUACCUGGAAAAUCCCUACAUAUUUGAAAACUAAAUAACGUACUUCUAUAUAACUCAUGAUCCAAAAAAAUUAGAAAGCAUUUAAAACCGAUUGAAAGUAAAAACACAUAUAUUAAAAUUUGUGGGAUUCAGCUAAAAUAGUAUGUAGUGAGACAUAUCUAGCACUAAAAGCCUAUAUUAAAAAAUAUGAAAGUUCCUGAAUCAAUGAUGUUAACUUCCACCUUAAGAAAUGAGAAAAGAAGAGCCAAUGAAACGCAAUGCAAGCAAAGAAAGAAUAAUAGAGCUUAGAGUGGAAAUCAAUGAAAUAGACAAACAACAGAGAAAAACAAUGAAACCAAAAGCAAGACUGAUUGGGGGAAAAAAAGACAAAUGCUAGUAUCUUUUUUUCUAGUAUCUAUCAUCAUAGAGAGGUGAUAUUGCUAUGGAAUCUACAGCUCUUAAAAAGCCAAUAAGGAAAAACUUCAUGGUAAUAAGUUUACCAACUUAGCUGAAAGAGGUCAAUCUCUUAGAAAAUACAAACUAUUAAAGCUCACUCAAAAAAACAAACAAAAAAAGAAAGAAUCUGAGUAGCCCUAUAGCUAGUAAAGAAAUUAAAUUCACAGUUAAAAACCUUAUCACAAAAAGACUCCAUAUCCAGAUGGCUUUACUGAUGAAUUCCACCCAACAUUUCAGGAAGAAAUAAUAAUUUUACACAAGGUCUUCCAGAAAAUAGAAGAGGAGGAAAUACUUCUCAAAUUAUUUUUGAGGCCAGCAUCACUCUGAUAGCAAUACCAGACAAAGAUAUUACAAGAAAAUAAAACUACUGUCCAAUAUUUUUCAAGAACAUAGAUGAAGAUAUUAAAUAUUUUUUUUCAGCAAAUCAAACCCAACAAUAUAUAAAUAAGGAUAACUCCUCAUGACCAAGUGUGGUUUAUCCCAGGAAUGCAAAGUUGGUUUAACAUUUGGAAAUUAAUCAAUAUAAAUCACUGUAUUAACAGACAAAAUGUACACCACAUGAUCGUCUCCAUAUAUGUAGAAAAAGCACUUGAGAAAAUUCAGUAUUAAUUCGUUCAUAAUACAAACUGUCAGCAAACUAGAAACAGAAGAAGCUCUCUAUCUCUGGAAAAAGGAAUCUGUACAAUUUUACAGCUAAUGUUGUACUUAGUGGUAAAUUAAUACUUAGGAUCAGGAACAAGAAAAACUGUCUGCUCUCAUCACUUUUAUUCAGCAUUGCACUGGAGGCUCUAACCGGCGCAAUAAAACAAGAAAAGGCAAUAAAAGGCACCUAGAUUGCAGAAGAAGUAAAAUUGUAUUUAUUUGUAAAUGGCAUGAUUGCUUCCAAGAAAUCCUAUGGAAUUCUACUAUAACACUUAGUGAGUUUAGAAGGGUUAUAGGAUACAAGGCUAAUAUACAAAAAUAAAUUAGUAUAAAUUUUAUAAAGGAGCUACACAUAAUCAGAAAUGGAAAUUUAAAUAUACAAUUGAAAGCAGUAUCAAAAAGUGAAAUAAUUAGGGAUAAGUCUUACAAAAUACAUGCAAGCCCUGUACGUUAAAACUAUAAAACACAGCUGAGAAAAAUUAAGGAAGAAAUAAAUAAA